GUGAAGGGGCAACACACUGCACACCUAUGUGAACUUUACAAUACUGUGCAUAUUUUAUCUCCAGAUUUACUUUUCUUAAUUCUGUUUAUUUUCAUGGGAUUGUUUGUGCUUGGUAUGCUGGGACAAAGAGAGAGUCAGACAGAAGACAUAAUUUGCUGAAAGUGAAGACAUUUACUGACAUAGUGAAGCAUCUCCAUAGACCUGAAGCACAUUUCUCCACAAAUCUACCUGGAAUCAGUACAAUGGACAACACAGAAAUCUCCCAAAUGGAGAGGCACACAAGAAGGGAAUACAUAUAGUUAAUGUAAUCAGCGCCUCUGGCAUCAUAAGGUCUUUCCUCUUGGUUUCUUCAUUCUGCUCCUCCUAGAGAGGAGGACUCAUCUUCCUGAGUUCAAAUCUGGCUUCAGACACUAGCUCUGCGACCUUGGGCGAGUCGCUUAACCCUGUUUGCCUCA